UACGGGGGGGGCAAGCGUUGUUCGGAAUUACUGGGCGUAAAGGGCGCGUAGGCGGUUUGCUAAGUUGAAUGUGAAAACUCUGGGCUUAACCCAGAGCCUGCAUUCAAUACUGGCAGGCUGGAGUUCUGGAGGGGAUAGCGGAAUUCCUGGUGUAGCGGUGAAAUGCGUAGAUAUCAGGAGGAACACCGGUGGCGAAGGCGGCUAUCUGGACAGAAACUGACGCUGAGGCGCGAAAGCUAGGGGAGCAAACAGG
rnacentral:rRNA from 1 species